GAGUAAAGAUUUCGGUCGCUUUGGGAGGAGCUCGCUUACUAUCAGCUUGUUGGUAGGGUAAUGGCCUACCAAGGCUAUGACGGUUAGGGGGUGUGAGAGCAUGACCCCCAGCAUUGGCACUGAAACACUGGCCAAACACCUACGGGUGGCUGCAGUCGAGAAUCUUCCACAAUGGGGGAAACCCUGAUGGAGCGAUGCUGCGUGCGGGAUGAAGGCCUUCGGGUUGUAAACCGCUUUUGUAGGGGACGAAAUUUUUGACGGUACCCUUUCGAAUAAGAGGUUGCUAACUCUGUGCCAGCAGCAGCGGUAAUACAGAGACCUCAAGCGUUAUCCGGAUUUACUGGGCGUAAAGCGUCUGUAGGGGGUUUAUUAAGUUCCAAGUAAAAUUUCAAGGCUCAACUUUGAAUUCGCUUGGAAAACUAAUAAACUGGAGCCUAGCAGAGGUGCAUGGAACUUGUGGUGUAGGAGUGAAAUCCGUUGAUAUCACAAGGAACACCAAAGGCGAAGGCAUUGCACUGGGCUAGCACUGACCCUGAGAGACGAAAGCGUGGGGAGCAAAACGGAUUAGAUACCCGUGUAGUCCACGCCCUAAACGAUGAAUGCUAAAUGUUCGGGGAUUCGACCCCCUGGGUGUUACAGCUAACGCGUUAAGCAUUCCGCCUGGGAAGUACGGCCGCAAGGCUAAAACUCAAAGGAAUAGACGGGGAUCCGCACAAGCGGUGGAGCGUCUGGUUUAAUUCGACAGUAAGCGUGGUACCUCACCAGGGUUUGACAUCCCUUGACAGCCUUGGAAACAAGGUUUCCUUCGGGCAAGGUGACAGGUGCUGCAUGGUCGUCGUCAGUUCGUGCCGUGAGGUGUUCCGUUAAGUCGGGAAACGAACGAAACCCCUAUUGCAUGUUACAAUUUCUCAUGCAAGACUGCCCGGAUAUACUGGGAGGAAGGUGGGGAUGACGUCAGAUCUGCAUGGUCCUUAUACCCUGGGCGACACAGGCGCUACAAUGGCAGAGACAAAGGGUUGCAAAACCGCAAGGUGAAGCUAAUCCCAAAAACUUUGUCUAAGUUCGGAUUGAAGGCUGCAAUUCGCCUUCAUGAAGCUGGAAUCGCUAGUAAUCGUGCAUCAGCCACGUCACGGUGAAUAUGUUCCCGGAUCUUGUACUCACCGCCCGUCACACCAAGAGAGUUGGUAGC
rnacentral:rRNA from 1 species